CUUUGGGGACUGGACUCUCUCCAGUGCCCUGGGGUCCUCUCCUUGACUUGGCUAUGAACUUGCUGAUGUGGAAGACCAUGUCAUAAUCAUCUCUGCAUAGAAACCAGGUAGUUGCAGAGUCUCAGGGAAUGUGUAUGGACUGUGGGACUUGAGGCUGGACCUUGGGAAGGGCCGCUGUGUUCCUCCACGUUCCACCAGCCUGGCUCUUCACCAAGGACCAAACUCGGGAGAUGGAUCAGGAAGGCAGUGCAGAGUGGGAGGGACCGGCAUGUCCUGGGAGCCUGCUGUGUGUGGAGAACUAUGCCUUCGUCGGCUCCUUUGAUCCUCACAGCAAGCCUGUGGGGUGGAGAGACUCGGCCCCAUUUCGUUGAUGAGAAAACGGAGACGUAGGGCAGUGAUUCUACUCUACGAUGGCUGGGACUCCCUGAGCCGUAUGGGAAGAAACAGGAUCCUCAUUUGGCUCUACGACGCCUCCUCCACCUGCUUCCCCUGCCACCCUCAGCCCCAGCUCCAAGGAUAUGAAAAGACCAAGUGCCAGUGGAUGACUGGGGGGAGAAAAGAGAGCCUGAAACUUAUUGCAGGAGAGGCCAGAGUGUGAAUGCGAAGCUCCUGCAGGGCAAUGGAGGCCUCAAGGACAUGUUGACAUAGCUGGGAGUCUUGCUGGUCCAUCUCUGUCAUUUAACAGCUCUGUAGGGUUCCCUGCUAUAGCCCCAGUGCCCACUCAUAGGUAUUUGUUGAACAAGUGAAAAAGAUACUCAACAAAU